rnacentral:rRNA from 1 species
AGGAUGAACGCUGGCGGCGUGCUUAAUACAUGCAAGUCGAGCGGUAAGGCCCCUUCGGGGGUACACGAGCGGCGGACGGCUGGGUAACGCGUGGGAACGUACCCCAAAGUGAGGGAUAAGCACCAGAAAUGGUGUCUAAUACCGCAUGUGCUCUAAGGAGUAAAGCUCCGGCGCUUUGGGAACGGCCUGCGUUCGAUUAGCUUGUUGGUGAGGUAAUGGCUCACCAAGGCGACGAUCGAUAGCUGGUCUGAGAGGAUGACCAGCCAGACUGGGACUGAGAACGGCCCAGACUCCUACGGGAGGCAGCAGUAGGGAAUUUUCCACAAUGGACGAAAGUCUGAUGGAGCAACGCCGCGUGCAGGAUGAAGGCCUUAGGGUUGUAAACUGCUUUUAUGUAUGAAGAUUAUGACGGUAGUACAUGAAUAAGGAUCGGCUAACUCCGCGCCAGCAGCCGC